UACAGAGGGUGCAAGCGUUGUUCGGAUUUACUGGGCGUAAAGCGCGUGUAGGCGGUGACAUAAGUCGGAUGUGAAAUCCCUCGGCUCAACCGAGGACGUGCACCCGAUACUGUGCCACUUGAGUACCGGGGGGGAUGGCGGAAUUCCUGGUGUAGAGGUGAAAUUCGUAGAUAUCAGGAGGAACACCUGUGGCGAAGGCGGCCAUCUGGACGGUAACUGACGCUGAGACGCGAAAGCGUGGGUAGCAAACAGG
rnacentral:rRNA from 1 species